AAGUGGAGCAAUCCAUGAGUAAAGUGGCGACCGGGUGAGUAACACGUGACUAACCUACCUUCAAGUGGGGGAUAACCUCGGGAAACCGAGGCUAAUACCGCAUAAUAUCGCAAGAUCAAAGCAGCAAUGCGCUGGAAGAGGGGGUCGCGGCUGAUUAGCUAGUUGGCGGGGUAACGGCCCACCAAGGCGAAGAUCGGUAGCCGGCCUGAGAGGGCGCACGGCCACACUGGAACUGAAACACGGUCCAGACUCCUACGGGAGGCAGCAGUGGGGAAUUUUGCGCAAUGGGGGAAACCCUGACGCAGCAACGCCGCGUGGAGGAUGAAGCCCCUUGGG
rnacentral:rRNA from 1 species